GUUUGGCCUUUUUCAGUGUCUUCAAGGAACUGAUGCGUUGAGCAGACGACUGUGUGAAACCCGUAAACAGCGUGAAGCAUCCGCCAAUAAGAGUGGCCCACAGUAAAAAAAUAUUCAUUUUCUACCGUCCGCAACAUGCAGAGGAUGGUGGCGAACAGGCGGACAAACUUGGAAUCGAACCUCAGCUCCAGAGGUUUCUGCUGAGCUCUUGUGUUGUCCAUAAUUUCACCAUCUGACAAUGGUUCACAUGAUGUUGAAAAUUUCGAAACGACUAGUCAGCAAACCAGAAAUGUCACAGAGAAAUGGGAUGCUGAAGACUAAAAGGAUGAUGUCUACAGCUCGGCAGAUGAUGACGAAGAAGAAACGAAAGAGCAGGAUAGCAAAUCAGAAAACGAAGCCAACCAGCUCCCUGAAAAGAAACCUUUGGUAGAAAGCACAGCAGAGUCGGAGGCUCAGCAGAAGAAUGAAGAGGAAAAAAAGGCUAGGGUGAAAGACGAGAAGAAAGAGUUAACAGGGGAAGAGAAACUAAUAGAAAAGAUUUGGCUAAAGAUUCAAGGGCAUGCCGAUGAUUUUGAACCGGUUCCUGCGGAAUCCAGAGACUCCAUAGAUAAUUGGGAUGAAGAGAAUGAAGUCACAGAUAGCUCGGCAGAUUCUGAUGAAGAAGAGUCGAGUGGCAAAACAGAGAGCCAAACAUACCUCAGAAAGAAAGAAAUUCUAGAAACAAUCCUGAGUUAGACAGAAUGACAGAAAAGUGUAUUUGGUAGAUCAGAAUCCAGCAUAGAGAAAAUGAUUCCAGCAAGUAAGGAAACAUUCAAACAGUUUGGAAAAGCAGUGAAGUUCAAAAUAAUUUUUCGUAAAGAGAGCAAGUACUACUCUGCUUCUAGGGAUCGUGCUAAACGGUCCUGGCAGAUACUCGGAGCAACGAGACGAAAAACAAAGAGGAAACGGCAUCGUAGGCAUCUUGUCACGCAUCUUGUCUACCACAGUAGACGGGCUUCAGACAGCAAACACCCAGGACACAAUGCUGACAUGUGGUUUGCUCUGUGUACAGAGGGUUUCGCGUCUGUCGUAGCAGACGACGCUGUUAGCGAAUUGUUGUCAGGGGCCAGCUCAAUAGUUUCGUGUGCAUCGUAUUUAUGUACAUUAUUUUCUGCAGCCUCAAUCACUCGGUCACUCAAUCAAUCGGAAGAGUGAAAGGUUAAUUAACAGACAGGCAAAGGGUUAACAGACUGCCGUCAGUCAGCGAACUGAGGAGUGUCGUUAACCACCGGCGUGCUACCAGGCCUCUGUGGGGGUGUCACAGACUGUUGGCCAUUCUGGUCGUGUGGACGGACUGUGUGCUUGACAGUAAAACAGGGUGUGACGCCGUAACUGAUCUGUGGCAGUAACUGCGAGUUGUCUCUCGCAGUGACCUGGGAUAACCUGUAUACUGUGUAGAAAGUUUUGUGCCGCGCCACACCUCACGUGCACUAUUAGUUAGAGGGCGUGUUUAUACGUGCGUGGGUGUGUGUCUGAUUUUUGUUUUAAAGUUGUGGGGCUCUCACCUGUUUGUUUUGUUUUUGCAAUCUGUUGUAAUAGUUCUUUUUUCUUUUCUUUUCCUUAUCUUUUAAGUUGGUGGUUGCACUCUGCUACCGCCAAUAAAUUUCAGUUUUGUCUUGUAACUUGGAGUGCGUGUUUUGUGUCCACUGAGAGUGAUUGGCUUUGUUGCUCGCGUCGGGUGCGUGGUAGUUUGUGUGAUUGCGAGUGUGUCUGUGAGAGAGCAAGUCUCGUGACGCCUGAUCGCGUUGCGCAACAAUAGUGAUGUAUUAUGAAUAAGUCUAUGUUGAAUGGUUCUAGCCUAUAGUGUGUACAGCUGUGCACUAAUGCUGAUUUUGAAUGAUGAAAAUGAUGAUGAUUGAUGACGAUUGAUGGAUGAUGAUAAUGUUUAAAUAACCAGUCUUCGGUGCAUAUCAGCUGUUCACAAUAUGCAGUACUGCAUUUGGCUUUUUUAUGUCUAAUGUUAUGAGCACUGCUAGCACUAGAUUUUUUCUCUUUGUAUUGUGCACAAUUGAUAUGUUGGUGUUCAAUAGUCUUAGUAAAAUGCAAAUUUUGGAGGAACUAGUGUAUGUGGUAACUUUUUUUUUACGAAAAUUCAUUAUUAGUAUUGAUUUCUGGUUGCUUUACUAAUUUGGACUUAUGCAUAUGAGGUAAUAAUUUUGGCUACUGUGUGGAUUUAACUGAAUUGUGCUCAUUCAUUUUAUGUCAUGCUUAAUAGAUAUGAAUUUUUAUUUAGAAAAAUUGUUCCUUAUCAUUCCUGUAUAGAUAUACAUGACCAUCCACGACAAAAUGAGUCUUAAGUCGCGAAUUUCAGAUUUGCCAAAUUGCAUAUUUUUAAAAAAGUAGAGGUUCUGAACUUUCUUUUGAUACAAAAGUCGUUCUUCUAUCCAACUGAGUGAGUUAUAAACGUUUGAAGUGUGAAAGUAUGGUGGCGGCCACUUUGAGAAAAGCGGGUUCAAAGAUUAGCAUCAUGAUGGCCGACCGGGUCUGUUUACUCCAGAACUUUUGUAGACAAAUCUUUAAAUCGGUUAAUAUUUGAAUCUUUCUUUGAAGAAGUUGAACAUACUGACUUCGCGCUUUCUGUCUAAGUAUAACACGAUGGGGUUAUGACUAGGAAACAGUAUCGAAACAGCGUUUGAAUUUCGUCUGAAAUUGGUACGGAUCGGAGUAGGGUACCUCGAUUAAAACGUAUUUAAAGUCCAUUUCUAACUUUUAUUUUAACAUACCAGUGCAUUUUCCUGAUAUUUUAAUAACCAAGGAAUCCAUUUUUAAAGAAAAGUCAAACUGCAUAAAAUUGACCCCUAUCAUCUUUCGGGGCCUCUAACA
rnacentral:lncRNA from 1 species